GAUGAACGCUGGCGGCGUGCCUAAUACAUGCAAGUCGAGCGAACAGAUAAGGAGCUUGCUCCUUUGACGUUAGCGGCGGACGGGUGAGUAACACGUGGAUACCUACCUAUAAUUCUGGGAUAACUUCGGGAAACCGGAGCUAUUACCGGUUAACAUAUUUAACCGCUUGUUUCAAUAGUGAAAGUCGGAUUUGCUGUCACUUAUAGAUGGCUCCUCGCCGUAUUAGCUAGUUGGUAAGGUAACGGCUUAUCAAGGCAACGAUACGUAGCCGAACUGAGAGGGUGAUAGGCCACACUGGAACUGAGACACGGUCCAGACUCCUACGGGAGGCAGCAGUAGGGAAUCUUACGCAAUGGGCGAAAGCCUGACGGAGCAACGCCGCGUGAGUGAUGAAGGUCUUCGGAUCGUAAAACUCUGUUAUCAGGGAAGAACAAAUGUGUAAGUAACUGUGCACAUAUUGACGGUACCUGAUCAGAAAGCCACGGCUAACUACGUG
rnacentral:rRNA from 1 species